GAGGAAUUAAAAUCUAAAGAGGAAAAACUGGAAGAACUUGAGAAGAUCUUUGCAUGGAGGAAUAAUCACAGCUUUGUGUCUCCACCAUACGGAUAAGUCAUAUGGUUGCCAAGCUUGAGCUGCACCAGGCCGUAUAUAUUUGACCACAACUUUCUAAGACUUCUUAGUAGGAAAAGACUACUUGAUUCUGAA
rnacentral:lncRNA from 1 species